ACUCAAAUGAAUAGACGGGGACUUGCACAAGUAGUGGAUUAUGUGGUUUAAUUCGACGAUAAACGAAGAACCUUACCAAGGUUAGAAAUCAACGUGAAAGCUCGCAGAAACGUGAGCCCUCGCAAGACUAGUUGACAGGUGAUGCAUGGCCGUCGUCAGUUCGUGGUUUGAAUUGUUCCCUUAAGUGGGGUAACGAACGCAACCCUCGUCGUGUGUUAUAAGUGUCACACGAGACUGCCCCGACCCAAGUUUUUGAGAAUUUUUAUUUUCGAAAGUUUCGGUCGGGGAGGAAGGGGAGGAUGACGCCAGGUCAGCAUGUCCCUUGAUACCUUGGGCUACACACAUAAUACAAUCGCAAUUACAACGGGCAGCGACGACGUAAGUCUGAGCGAAUCCUAUAAAAAUUGCGCCAGUUCGGAUUGGGGGCUGCAACUCGACCCCAUGAAGUUGGAAUUACUAGUAAUCGCGGGUCAGAUAUACCGCGGUGAAUACGUUCUCAAGUCUUGUACACACCGCCCGU
rnacentral:rRNA from 1 species